GCCAGCCCGAGAGCCUAUGUACCUUGGCUUUAAAGCCCGGAAUUGAAGUUGAUUAAGCAAGGAGGAGGAAGAGAAAGAAGAGGAGUUUGAUUAAGGACAGGAGAGAACAGCAUGGUGCUAACCGUAGGGAAGAAGGUGGCAAGAGAAAACAAAAAUCAACUACCCCAAUCCAUUUCUCUCUUUCCCGGCAAUCCUGUUUUGAAGGCAGUCACUGCUUCUCAGAAAGGUCACACCAAAAUCAAUCAAAGGUGGGGUUGGAAACCUUUGUAGCACUAUGAUACAUGACUUCUUCUGUAACCAAAAGUACUCCAGGGACAACACCUCCAUUCAUGCACUCAGCAACUGCAUUAGGCCAUACCAGCCUGGCGCUUCGGUUGAGCCAGUCAACAUCACUGGUGUCAAGGUAACAAAACUAUCUCCCAGAUUGCUGUUAAACCCAUCACUUUAUUAAAUCCUUAUGCCAAAUCUGUUCUUGCUUUUUUUCCCUUUUCUCUGGAAUAUUGUAGGCUAAUCAUGUAAGUUCCACUGUUUCUUUCAGACCUUCUUCAGGUCUUAUCUCUUCUCAGUUUUCAUCC
rnacentral:lncRNA from 1 species